UCAGUUAUUCUGCAGUCUGACAGGUGAGUGUGUCAGUUAUUCUGCAGUCUGACAGGUGAGAGUGUCAGUUAUUCUGCAGUCUGACAGGUGAGCGUGUCAGUUAUUCUGCAGUCUGACAGGUGAGCGUGUCAGUUAUUCUGCAGUCUGACAGGUGAGCGUGUCAGUUAUUCUGCAGUCUGACAGGUGAGCGUGUCAGUUAUUCUGCAGUCUGACAGGUGAGCGUGUCAGUUAUUCUGCAGUCUGACAGGUGAGCGUGUCAGUUAUUCUGCAGUCUGACAGGUGAGUGUGUCAGUUAUUCUGCAGUCUGACAGGUGAGUGUGUCAGUUAUUCUGCAGUCUGACAGGUGAGUGUGUCAGUUAUUCUGCAGUCUGACAGGUGAGCGUGUCAGUUAUUCUGCAGUCUGACAGGUGAGCGUGUCAGUUAUUCUGCAGUCUGACAGGUGAGCGUGUCAGUUAUUCUGCAGUCUGACAGGUGAGUGUGUCAGUUAUUCUGCAGUCUGACAGGUGAGUGUGUCAGUUAUUCUGCAGUCUGACAGGUGAGAGUGUCAGUUAUUCUGCAGUCUGACAGGUGAGUGUGUCAGUUAUUC